rnacentral:rRNA from 1 species
AUGGCAAAAGCACAGGUUGUUGCCUCAGGAAGAAAAGAACAAAAGCAUCUCAAUGGUUUGGCACAGGGACCAGUAAUAAUGUACCUCGACUGCCUGCUGCUGCCAACCGACACAAAAGAAAUGCGCAAGAUUUCCAAGACAAUGGACAAGACAUCAUUACCGCGAGCAAACCACCUAAAAGAGAGUGACCUAAAGAAAAUAGCUAGAGCAGACAUGAAAAGGGACGGAAAAGCACGACCAGAUGACUAUGAAUUUGGCAAGAUAAAGACAUGGAAAGGAACAGCAGAGAGGAUCUUCUAUGCCAGCACAGCAACACCUUCAUAUUCAAUACAGAUGAUACCAGCACAACAACAGGAGCACCAGCAGACGACCAAGCUACUACCACCUCCAUCCAAGCGCUAG